ensembl:lncRNA
GCCCUUUCUUGGGUUUUAAUAACUGAGCUCUUUCUUCCCUGCCCACUCCACCUCCCUGCUCCUGGCUGCCUUUUUUGUUUUACAGAGACAGGUUUCACUCUGUGGUUCAGGCUGAAGAGAAGUUGCACAAUCACAGAUCGCUGUAAUUUUGAAUUUCUGGGUUCAAGUGAACUUCCCACCUCAGCCUCCCAAAUAGCUGGGAAUAAAGCCAGGUGUCAUUGCACCUGGCUAAUUUUUAAAUUAUUUCAGAAAUGAGGUCUCUCUAUAUUGCCCAGGAUGGUUUCAAACUCUUGGCCUCAAGCGAUCCUCCCACUUCAGCCUCCUGAGUUGCUGGGAUUGCAGGCGUGAGCCACUGUGGACAGUUUUCUCUUUUUCCUUUUAAGAGCUCAGACUAUCUGUUCAGAAAUUCUCACUUUUGAAGCCAAGGUUUGCCAACAAUUGGUGCCAAAAAAAAAAAAAAGAGAGACAGAGAGAGAGAAAAUAGGUCACAGUUUAGGCCUCCACAAUCUCACUUUACAUGAACAAAAAGGAAAAUAGUGCCUGAAUCCAGGAAUGGAGAAGGAUUAAACAAAUUUUUAAUGUGAAGAUAAUUAGCAAGGAAGAAAAAGGGCAACUUGUUCUCUUUACUAUUGACAUUUAGACAAGACCGAGCUUGGCAACGAGAAAGGAAGAAUUUCACAGAGGCCGAGCUCCGAAGCAGCAUGGUUUUCUCCCCUGCUACUUUCCUCUCUUCCCUUUCUUCCGACACUCGUCCCCUUGAGUUUCCUGGGAGAAUGGCCAUUCUCAGAUUGGAUUCAAGUCUGAACAAAGCUGACAAAUGCUUAUCUUUCUCACCACAACCACUGCAAUUACCCUGCGGGUGGAGAGACCUGGUGAGUAGGUGCCAGAGGGGAGCAAAUGUGGGUUCAAUAUCAGGGGAAGCUCCGGAACAAUGAGUGCCAUGUGACAUCCUCAUAAUAACAGUAAUUAUGACAAAAAUAACUCUCGCCUUCCCUUUUGCUGCUUUGCCUUUUGCUGUUUCUAAAGUGUAUUAGUAGCCAAUGCCGUAUUUGAAUCUCCGCAGCACUGUGAGAUCACGAGCCCUGUCUGUAGGAAGGGCACCUGGAACCCACGGAGUGCAGUGGCUUUCCGGGGUUACACAGCUGAACCCAAUAUCCAACCCCAGGUUCUCAUUCCCAAAUCUAGGUUCCGGAAAAGGCUGUCUUGGGAAGUAGUAAGCUCUAUCAGCAGAUAGGUGAGGAGAGGCUGAGCAUCCUGCCUCCCCGGCAAGGAGACACAGGAGACUGCUGUCCCCUCUCAGGUUCUGGACUCCUCAUUGUAAGACCAUGGGAACAAGACAUUUUUAGGUGCACGGGAGGCCUUUCGUUUCUUCAUUUCCUUGACAUCAGCAAGAAAGCCCCACCUUCUUCUCACUGAGAGCUCUGCCAGCCUGCUUGCCAGGUUCGAGGGUGUGUGAAAGCUGGCCCAUGCUUUGCUGCGUAAACUUCAAAAUCUAACGUGCUGAGACUCACAUGGGUGCCCGAGUCUUUCCCCCAUGUUCUGUUGUCCCCACACUGAUAAGACCUAGGACAAAGGGCUAUAAAAAUGAUGGAGUUUUCUGGCCGGGCGCGGUCACUCACACCUGUAAUCGCAGCACUUUGGGAGACUGAGGUGGGCAGAUCACAAGGUCAAGAGAUCGAGACCAUCCUGGCCAACACGGUGAAACCCUGUUUCUACUAAAAAUACAAAAAUUAGCCUGGCGUGGUGGCGGGCGCCUGUAGUCCCAGCUACUCAGGAGGCUGAGGCAGCAGAAUUGCUUCAACCCGGGAGGCAGAGGUUGUAGUGAGCCGAGAUCACACCACUGCACUCUAGUCUGGCCACAGAGCGAGACUCCAUCU